GAGCUUGCUCCACCGGAAAAAGAAGAGUGGCGAACGGGUGAGUAACACGUGGGUAACCUGCCCAUCAGAAGGGGAUAACACUUGGAAACAGGUGCUAAUACCGUAUAACAAUCGAAACCGCAUGGUUUUGAUUUGAAAGGCGCUUUCGGGUGUCGCUGAUGGAUGGACCCGCGGUGCAUUAGCUAGUUGGUGAGGUAACGGCUCACCAAGGCCACGAUGCAUAGCCGACCUGAGAGGGUGAUCGGCCACAUUGGGACUGAGACACGGCCCAAACUCCUACGGGAGGCAGCAGUAGGGAAUCUUCGGCAAUGGACGAAAGUCUGACCGAGCAACGCCGCGUGAGUGAAGAAGGUUUUCGGAUCGUAAAACUCUGUUGUUAGAGAAGAACAAGGAUGAGAGUAACUGUUCAUCCCUUGACGGUAUCUAACCAGAAAGCCACGGCUAACUACGUGCCAGCAGCCGCGGUAAUACGUAGGUGGCAAGCGUUGUCCGGAUUUAUUGGGCGUAAAGCGAGCGCAGGCGGUUUCUUAAGUCUGAUGUGAAAGCCCCCGGCUCAACCGGGGAGGGUCAUUGGAAACUGGGAGACUUGAGUGCAGAAGAGGAGAGUGGAAUUCCAUGUGUAGCGGUGAAAUGCGUAGAUAUAUGGAGGAACACCAGUGGCGAAGGCGGCUCUCUGGUCUGUAACUGACGCUGAGGCUCGAAAGCGUGGGGAGCAAACAGGAUUAGAUACCCUGGUAGUCCACGCCGUAAACGAUGAGUGCUAAGUGUUGGAGGGUUUCCGCCCUUCAGUGCUGCAGCUAACGCAUUAAGCACUCCGCCUGGGGAGUACGACCGCAAGGUUGAAACUCAAAGGAAUUGACGGGGGCCCGCACAAGCGGUGGAGCAUGUGGUUUAAUUCGAAGCAACGCGAAGAACCUUACCAGGUCUUGACAUCCUUUGACCACUCUAGAGAUAGAGCUUCCCCCUUCGGGGGGCAAAGUGACAGGUGGUGCAUGGUUGUUGUCAGCUCGUGUCGUGAGAUGUUGGGUUAAGUCCCGCAACGAGCGCAACCCUUAUUGUUAGUUGCCAUCAUUCAGUUGGGCACUCUAGCAAGACUGCCGGUGACAAACCGGAGGAAGGUGGGGAUGACGUCAAAUCAUCAUGCCCCUUAUGACCUGGGCUA
rnacentral:rRNA from 1 species